AUUGAACGCUGGCGACAGGCCUAACACAUGCAAGUCGAGCGAGCGGCGGACGGGUGAGUAAUGUAUGGGGACUGCCCGAUAGAGGGGGAUAACUACAGGAAACGGUAGCUCAUACCCCAUACUAUCGGAUAACCCAUAUGGGAUUAGCUAUUAGGUGGGGUAAUGGCUCACCUAGGCGACGAUCCCUAGAUGGUCUGAGAGGAUGAUCAGCCACACGGGAACGGAGACAAGGCCCAGACUCCUACGGAGGCAGCAGUGGGGAAUAUGGCACAAUGGGCGCAAGCCUGAUGCAGCCAUGCCGCGUGUAUGAAGAAGGCCCUAGGGGUGUAAAGUACUUUCAGUCGGGAGGCGUUACCGACAGAAGAAGCACCGGCUAACUCCGUGCCAGCAGCCGCGGUAAUAC
rnacentral:rRNA from 1 species